rnacentral:piRNA from 1 species
UGCUAGCAGAGUUACCCAGGUCGGUUCC